AAGGCUCAAACAAAGUGGAACUUAAAAAAUUGUCCUAAUAUAUCUGAAAUAUGAAGAUAAAUCGAGACAUAUCCCUAUAUUCAACUUAUUUACUUUGUAGUGUUAACGCUGAGAACUGCAGCGCCCCCUGUAGGUCACGUGCCCAUGAAGAUGGAAAGUUCUGGACGCUUCUGUUUUUCUCGUGAAUAUAACAUAAACUGUUAACAUGUUGUUGUUUUCUUCUCCUGAAUACAAAUAACUUUUUUAUUGUAUCAGAAGGGUUAACGGUUGGAGAUGAGAGAGAGAGAGAAAGAAAGAAAGAAAGAAAGGAAGAAUUUGGACAGUUACAGCUUUACAACCGGCUUCUCCAGCUGAAGAUCCAGCACCAGGAAACCCGGAGAAUGGAAAUGAUCAAGCAGCAAUUCAGUGAG